CCAGGCUUGAACAGCGAGUGACCACUCAUGAAAGUGAGCUUCCGCAAGGACACUCGUAGAGGUGCUGCAUGGCUGUCGUCAGCUCGUGUCGUGAGAUGUUGGGUUAAGUCCCGCAACGAGCGCAACCCUUGUCUUCUGUUGCCAUCAGGUCAAGCUGGGCACUCUGGAGAGACUGCCGGUGAUAAACCGGAGGAAGGUGGGGAUGACGUCAAGUCAGCAUGGCCUUUAUGUCUGGGCUACACACGUGCUACAAUGGCCGGCACAAACCGUCGCGAGCCCGCAAGGGGGAGCUAAUCGGAGAAAGUCGGUCUCAGUUCGGAUCGUCGGCUGCAACUCGCCGGCGUGAAGUUGGAAUCGCUAGUAAUCGCGGAUCAGCACGCCGCGGUGAAUACGUUCCC
rnacentral:rRNA from 1 species